GUAAUUCCGGUGAAGAUGCCGGAUACCUGCGACAGGACGGAAAGACCCCAUGGAGCUUUACUGUAGCUUGACAUUGGGUCUUGGUACUACAUGUACAGGAUAGGUGGGAGGCUUUGAAACCAGGACGCCAGUUUUGGCGGAGCCAUCCUUGGGAUACCACCCUUGUAGUACUGGGACUCUAACCAUAGGCCAUGAAUCUGGUCUUGGGACACUGUCAGGUGGGCAGUUUGACUGGGGCGGUCGCCUCCCAAAAGGUAACGGAGGCGCUCAAAGGUUCUCUCAGUACGGUCGGAAAUCGUACGUAGAGUGUAAAGGCAAAAGAGAGCUUGAUUGCAAGACAUACAGGUCGAGCAA
rnacentral:rRNA from 1 species